GGGGGUGUAGCCCAGUGGUAGAGCGCUUGCCUAGCAUGUGUGAAGCCCUGGGUUCGAUUCUCAGCACCACAU
rnacentral:tRNA from 1 species